AUUGAACGCUGGCGGCAUGCUUUACACAUGCAAGUCGAACGGCAGCGCGGGCUUCGGCCUGGCGGCGAGUGGCGAACGGGUGAGUAAUGCAUCGGAACGUGCCCAGUAGUGGGGAUAGCCCGGCGAAAGCCGGAUUAAUACCGCAUACGACCUGAGGGUGAAAGCGGGGGACCGAAAGGCCUCGCGCUAUUGGAGCGGCCGAUGUCGGAUUAGCUAGUUGGUGGGGUAAAGGCUUACCAAGGCGACGAUCCGUAGCUGGUCUGAGAGGACGACCAGCCACACUGGGACUGAGACACGGCCCAGACUCCUACGGGAGGCAGCAGUGGGGAAUUUUGGACAAAGGGGGCAACCCUGAUCCAGCCAUGCCGCGUGCGGGAAGAAGGCCUUCGGGUUGUAAACCGCUUUUGUUCGGGAAGAAAUCCUCUGGGCUAAUACCCCGGGGGGAUGACGGUACCGGAAGAAUAAGCACCGGCUAACUACGUG
rnacentral:rRNA from 1 species